UUGAACGCUGGCGGCAUGCUUUACACAUGCAAGUCGAACGGUAACAGGUUAAGCUGACGAGUGGCGAACGGGUGAGUAAUGCAUCGGAACGUGCCCGAUCGUGGGGGAUAACGCAGCGAAAGCUGCGCUAAUACCGCAUACGAUCUGAGGAUGAAAGCGGGGGACCGUAAGGCCUCGCGCGAUCGGAGCGGCCGAUGUCAGAUUAGGUAGUUGGUGGGGUAAAGGCUCACCAAGCCGACGAUCUGUAGCUGGUCUGAGAGGACGACCAGCCACACUGGGACUGAGACACGGCCCAGACUCCUACGGGAGGCAGCAGUGGGGAAUUUUGGACAAUGGGCGCAAGCCUGAUCCAGCAAUGCCGCGUGCAGGAAGAAGGCCUUCGGGUUGUAAACUGCUUUUGUACGGAGCGAAAAGGCUCUCUCUAAUACAGGGGGCUCAUGACGGUACCGUAAGAAUAAGCACCGGCUAACUACGU
rnacentral:rRNA from 1 species